UACAGAGGGUGCAAGCGUUGUUCGGAAUUAUCGGGCGUAAAGCGCGUGUAGGCGGCUUUGCAAGUCGGGUGUGAAAGCCCUCAGCUUAACUGAGGAAGUGCGCCCGAAACUGCAGAGCUUGAAUACCGGAGAGGAUGGCGGAAUUCCCCAAGUAGAGGUGAAAUUCGUAGAUAUGGGGAGGAACACCGGUGGCGAAGGCGGCAUCCUGGACCGGUAUUGACGCUGAGGCGCGAAAGCCAGGGGAGCAAACGGG
rnacentral:rRNA from 1 species